rnacentral:rRNA from 1 species
UCCUGGCUCAGGAUUAACGCUGGCGGCGUGCCUAACACAUGCAAGUCGAACGGAAUAUCUUCGGAUAUUUAGUGGCGAACGGGUGAGUAAUGUACAGGUAAUGUACCUUCGUACUGCGAAUAACAAGCUGAAAAGUUUGCUAAUACGGAAUAGUUUCCUUCGGGGGCAUCCUUAAAGGAAUAAAGAUUUAUCGUGCGGAGAUCAGCCUGUAUCCUAUUAGUUAGUUGGUGGGGUAAUGGCCUACCAAGACGACGAUGGGUAACUGGUCUGAGAGGAUGAGCAGUCACAUUGGAACUGAGAAACGGUCCAAACUCCUACGGGAGGCAGCAGUGAGGAAUUUUGCGCAAUGGGGGAAACCCUGACGCAGCAACGCCGCGUGAGUGACGACGGCCUUCGGGUUGUAAAGCUCUGUCGUGUGUGACGAGUAGGGACGGUAACACACAAGGAAGCCUCGGCUAACUACGUGCCAGCCGCCGC